AACCUCGGCCAUAUCACCCUGCAGCCCAAGACCCGGUUAUUCGCUGAAGCUAAGCAGGGCUGAGCCUGGUCAAUACCUUGAUGGGAGACCACAUGGGAAAACUAGGUUGCUGUUGGAA
rnacentral:rRNA from 1 species